ensembl:lncRNA
CAUGGGAAUUCCUGAGGUCUGUUCGAUCCGUUAAUGUAUGCUGCGGUUGAAUGUCAUCAAUUAUGAACGAGGAACAUUAGAGAUUCACAGAGAGCUGGUGGAGACUCGCAGCUUGUGGCUGUUAGACUGUAGUACCUUGAAUGUGUGUAACAGGAUACGUGGGUUAUAUUGGGCAAUCGGAUACGCUACUUCUGGGCACGCUAUCUUUAAAAGUAGAGUAUUUCUCAAGUGAAACAAUAAUCAAAUUAGAGGAAGAUUAUUUUGGUUAAAUCAAGGACAGAACGAGUUCAGUCAAAUUACACAGAAAUGUAUACGACGUUUGUAAAUGAGGCAAGCUGCAGCGAAGCGAUCCUUCUGUAGGUGGAGUCUAUUUCCUCAGCCUUUAGGUGUCAGGCACCCGAGUCCUUACGUGUGAAUACUGCAGUAUCUUUGCGGCCUGGGCCUCUUCCCCUUUAAGGCAAAGAGUGUGUUGACCCCGACAGCGAGUUCAUACCAUAAGCAGACCCAUAUAGCUCCUCCGCCGGAGCCUCUGAUCACAGCCCCGCUGAGCUGCGGCCUCAGUUAUGUAAGAUUACAUAAUACCAGGUCUGUCUGGGUAAUAUUUCAUGACCUCCGGGCCCUACUGCGCUGGCAUUAACAAUGAAUCCAUGAGCGCUAGGCAGGUUUGACUACAUGAAAGUUAAAAGUUUAAAAACAAAUCGGAUCAAGUCGACGGCGCCGGGGGGGAUUUAUCUCUCCCGUCCUUCUCCUGUUGUACGUUUUAAGUUUGGUCCACCUCCGCAGCCCCUAAAUGUUGAAAUCAAAGAUCAUUCCUUUCAUUUACUUGAGAGCUAUAGUGGAGGUCGAGGAAAGGUCGAGGCCGGACGCCACUAAACAAAAGCGUUGCCCGCUUUGGUGCAGUGAUUCCGUCUGCCCGUAAAGCCCGUAUGAUUGUGUGGUAAUCAAAUCAUUGCAGACAAACUCAUUCAGGCACACGCUUAGACAGGGAAUAUUAUUAGAGAACUAGGCCAGUAACUGUUAUAUAACGGCUUUGGCUCUACAAUUAACAACUUCUUUAACCAUAACUGCAGAAGGUUUUUUUUUUUUUUUUAAUUACUGCGCUGUUUUAAUCAAAACGUUCCCGAUAACCAUGUCAGCGCAGAAUUUUAAUAACUUUGCUUUAUUCAGAAACAAAUGCUAGACAACAUAUAUUUACACCAGAGAAAAAAAGAAAAAGAAAUGCACAAAAAAAAUCAAAAGCUGUUUCAGUAACACACGCUAACAAAUUAAAUAAAACGUUGGACUUGGAACAAUAUCCAUUAAUCGUUGUGAUUCAGAUAAUAUAUGACAAGUAAUAGAGGAAAUGUGGGGAUAGAUAACAGAAGGUUAUGGAAAUGAAGAAACUUGUUGAAAAGAACUCCGCCGUGUUAGUAUCUCUCGUUAAUAGCGAACCACGUCUUGGACUGUCUUGUCUUUACAGACGAACCGACAGACAGGUUUGGGAUACCCGGAUGAACGGAUGGGAGAAGCAUGGGAGGAGUGAGAUACGCAAGCAGAGAAGAAAUCCUGCAGUAUUUUCGCCUCAUUCUAACCAAUCCCCUCUAAUUUUUGAUGCCCUUUAUGACAAAACAACACCGCACGAGCAGGAGCGACCGUCCGCCGCUGCAGUCCCACGCCAACACGCUAACACGGAUACACACAUGACAAAUACACAGGCGGAUGCACACACACAGAGAGGCGACACAGCCUGCCUCCUUCAUGUCGCUAGCCUCCCGUGCAUGGGCCCCUUAAAACGAGGUGCACCCGGCGAUCCCUUUGCAAAGCCCUCAUCCGAAUGUGAGCAGAGGUAAUCCCUCCAGGAGAGGCAAAGAGAACGGUGAUAACACAAGAUAAAGAGUGGCGGAAGGAGGGAAAAAGGGAAAGACGGAGAAAGAGGUCAAGCAAGAGAUGGGAAAGAUUAGCAGGGUGAGGGGAUUAGCAACAGAGGGAGGGGGGAAAAGUAAAAUAAAGUGUGGUAAAGGCGGGUGAGAGGAGAAUGGUUCAAAGGAUAUUACCAAAAAGGCACAUAUGAUGCAUGUGUGGGAAAUCAAAAAAGGGCAUGUGCAUGCAGUAUACUCACAGAGGAAUGAGAGGGUGAUCGGAGAAGUGAUGAAAAAUCAUGUCAAGGAGCCAGAAAAAAAAAUAUACGACCGCAAAGAAAUGAAGUCCAGCUUCUUCUCAUUCUAGAGUUUUGUUCUUUUCCCUCUUUUUCCCUGCGAUUUGGACGAUUCCUAUCCGGCCGUCCCUCCUUCCAAAGUUUAUCCCCUACUGGUCCCCCUUCUCUGCUCUUCCCCCUCCUGUUUUUCUUGCCAGCACCGGCACUCUUUCUCCCACCUCUCUCUCUCUCUCUCUCUUUCUCUCGCAGACCACGCUCUCCAUUCUCUCAUUCUUUGCCUCUGUCCCCCUUUCUCUGUCCAUUCAUCUGACACUCUUUUCCUUUUCUUCAGCCCUCAUUUCCUGCUUCAUAAAUGCUUUUUUUGAAAAAUAAAAAGAGGGUUUUCUCAACAGAGGUCAAGCUCUGACAAAAAAAUUACUGCAAAAGAAUAGAAAAAAAACGCUGACGGGAAAGGACAAGCAGUUUGUCAUUAGGCGGGGACAAUCCAUGGCCUGCGUUUUCUCAGGGGCGCCAUGCAGGGGAGGGGUGACGGCGCCUCCGAACACGAGGACGCGACCCAGGCAAAGAGUGGCGAGUAAAAGAAAAAAGGAGGAAUAAAACCGAGCUUGGAAGUGGAUAGAAAGCGCGCGUGAGGGGAAGGAGUGGGAAGGACUCCGGGGUGGGUGUGUAUGUGUGUGUGUGUGUGUGUGUGUGUGUGUGUGCAGAGGUGGGAGGAGAGAGAAAGUGAGACGACAGAGAGCGACUGAGAGAGAGAGGAAAAAGAGAGAGAGAGCGAGACUAGGGGGCUCAUGGAGAAAUAUCUAAGAGGGAGGGAUGGAGGAGGAGUGUGUCGACGGGGAGAGGAAAGAGGAGGGCGCACGAAUAGCAAUACAUUUUUUCUUUUUUUUUUCAUGCUCACGCUAUUCAAAUUUUGAGCUCUCAUUUUUUCACCCCUUUGUUCCAACGCUGAUACCUUCUCUGUCUGUGAGGGGGAAACAGCGAGGAAGAAAGAAGAAGAGAAAGAGCUACUGUGUGCUUUGUUUCCUGCCCCUGCCGCUCCCUUUCCUAGUUUCCUUUCUGCUCUGACUACCCCCUAUUCAGCCUAUUUUCUGCUCGUGCACUUGAACUCUAAAUUCUCUCUCUCUCUCUCUCUCUCAGGAAGGAGAGAGCGAGCGGCUAGGAAAAGGAGAGUGCGAGGGGGACAAAAAGGGGAGAGAGAUGUUGAGAGGGGGAGGGGAAGAAGCAUAGACAGGCUGAUAUAGAGAGCAUAGGGCUGCUCUGCGUGUACACACACACACACACACACACACACACACACACACACACACAGGCUUUAGAUGCAGCGUUUCACGCGCUGGUGGUAAUCCGCACAUCAUGUUAGCCUACAUACCAGAAAAUAAAUACAUGACUUUUCGGGGUCAAGGGAAGCAAUAAUUAAAAACGGUGGGAUUUUCUGUAUUUUCAGCAGUUUAUAGUGUCAGACUACACUUCCAACAAAACACUAGGAAAAAAAGCAACGCUUGGAAUACACACAAAUAAGGAGUAUUGCAAAUCGAUCAAUCCAACCAUUAUUUUCUUAAAUAAAUCAUUAGUCAAAAUAUUGAACCAAUUAAUGAAAGCAUCUUUUUUCAAGCUACCAGAUCACAUAUGCGAUGCAAUCAACCUGCUAAUAU